GGCGCGGACCUCCUUGUCAAUGGGAGCGCGGGGCCGGGCUGCCCGUACGGCGGUCAGGUGGGACCCCCAGCUCGCUGCCAGCGCGGCCUCUGUCCCUCUCGGGCCGGCUCUCCAUCUUGUCGCCCGCAGCCCGCCUUCUCCGUGGCUCUCCAGCCGCUGGGGCCGCAGAGCCGAGGCCGGGUUACCUCAGGAAACGCGAUGUGGUAGUGGGUCGGAAUAAACCCGCGCGCCCCAGAAUUCGCCUUGGGGGCGUAAGGACAGAUUCGGACUUUUCGCUUCCUGUGUCCACAUUUAUUGAGCACCUAGUAUGUGAGAGCCGAGGCUGUAAGGAGAGGAACGCAGCGGGUGGAGAAAAGCCAGGGCCUUUUCUCUGGGAGCCGCUGCCUCCAGGGCCAUCGCCGACCCUGCUCCGAGAUCCCAGCCGCCGCUCUCCUUGCAGGAGGGGUGCCCACCCUGGGGUGGCCUGGGUGCCUGGAGUGGAGAGACAGGGCUUCAAGCGACCGGGAGUUUCCAGCAAACCCCUGAUCCCUGAGCAGUUUAUUUUAAAAGCUUUUGCAAAUGUUGGACGGUUUAGCUUGGUGGAGGUCGUCUUUGCACUAAAUUCUCCUGUCCUCCCCUUUCGAAACACACAAAAUGAAUUUUGAACAGAUUUUGGAUGAGAGGUUUUCUUCCUUUUUUCAUCUUCUGAAACAUUUCCCCCUCAUUUCUUCUCAGAUAAAGACCCAGAAACCCGGGACAGUUACUCGGUGUACAGCUAGUCAAAUACUGAGGAAACCAGUCGAUAUUUGCCAAAGAUUGGGCAUGUUCUGGGUGGUCUCAGAUUUUGAAGAAACGAAUUUUUUACUGCACAAAAUAGUUUUACAAUCAGUUCCAUCAGACAGCCCCAGGGGCUCUCCUAGGGAAAGGGGCCAAUAGGCAAGGUUGCAUGGGGAUAAGAGAGGCAAGCGGCCAGUGGAAAACGUUUUUUUUUUUUUCUAACAGUUGGGCAUUUCUGUAGCUCUGAAAGCAAACUUGUUUGUUUCAUUUCAACGAUAGAAAAAAAAAAACACUCCUGUUUUGGAAAUGUAACCCAGCAUAAAAAUACAUUUGCAAUGGGGAAAAAGAAAACAGUUUAGGGCCACCCAGAAGAAAAUAUUUUUUCCCUGAUUUUUUUUUUAAUUUGGUAUUUCUCAGUGUGGGUUUGCCUCAUUUUACAAAUAGCUGCCCAUGUCAAGUUGUGGGUAUGUGAUUUAAAUAUUUUAAUUUGAAUCACAUUUUACAUAGUCUAGGAAACUGACAAAAGAAUCCUAUAGAGAAUUGUUUUAUAAAGUGAAUAACUGCUUCUCUACCUACCUGCCCCCCUCAUUCUUCUUUUCUGUGCGUGUUUUUGGGGGGAUGUUAGGGGAUAAAUCUGGUUUGGCUUAAAAAUCACUAAAACGCAGCCUUUCAAAUCCAAAACAGAGAGCGUAGGUACCCAACAUUCUAUAGAAUGUGUUAUUUCCUCAAGAGGUUGCUAGGAACAGUUAUGUAGAUCUACCAGGUGCGGGGAAGCACUCCACAACCUCACCCAGGUCCUGUAUCCCUGCAAGACUGCAUUGGAAAGACUGAAGAGGCUGGAGUGCAGUGGCGCAAUUUUGGCUCACAGGAACCUCUGUCUCCCAGAUUCAAGAGAUUCUCAUGCCUCAGCCUCGCGAGUAGCUGGGAUUACAGAGCUGACAAGCCAUAGCAGGACGGCUAUCCCCUGAGAGAUGGGAGAGGAGGAGAAACAGCCCGACAGGGGCCUGGAGCAGCUGGCUGGCGUCAGUAAUUUCCUGCAGGAGACUCUGCCGGCCGAGCACACGUCACCCUUCUGUUGCUCCUCUGUAUUCUCCCUUGUGCUACUAAAAUAUGCUAAUGUAACUCCUGGGCUGUGCUAAGCUAAAUGCAGUUAUUUAACCUCAUUUCUAUGGAACCCAGGUCUAAAGCAGCAACAUCUAUUUGGAACAAGAUGGGGAGGAGGUGAUGGGAUGAUCUGUGCAGCAAACCACCAUGGCACACGUUUACCUAUGUAACAAACCUGGACAUCCUGCACAUGUAUCCCGGAACUUAAAAUAAAAGUUGAAGAAAAAAAAGAAAGAAAAAGUUUUGUGAAGUCUGGAGGUGUAAUGGACAGACACAGGCUUAGGAGUGGAAUGCCUUUUCUUCUCCUGCCCUUGGGCAUCAGACUCCAGGUUCUUUCGCCUUUGGACUCUGGGACUUGCACCAGUGGCUCCCCUGGGGUUCUCAGGCCCAGGGCCUCAGGCUGUAGACUGCACUGUUGGCUUUCCUAAUUCUGAGGCUUUCAGACUUGGACUGAGCCACGCAACUAGGUUUUCUCAUUUUGCAGCCUGCAGACAGCCUACCGUGGGACUUUGCCUUUGUAAUCAUGUGAGUCAGUUCUCCCUAAUAAAUUCAUAUAUAUAUAUAUCAUAUAUAUGAUAUAUAUAUAUUCUCCUCUGCAGAACUGUGACUAAUACAGCCAUGUCCUCUUAGUCUUUCUUCGUUUAUUCAGCCUUUUCCCCCCUAUGUGUGUCAGACUGAAUAGUUUUUACUGCCCUGUCUUCAAGUUCACUGAUCUUUUCUUCUGCACUAUCUAAUGUGAUCUUAGUCCUAUCCAGUUAAUUUUUUAUUGCAGAUGCUGUAUUUUGAGCUCUGGAAUUUCUAUUUGGAUUUUUAAAAGUAGUUUCCAUUUCUCUUCUC